UACAGAGGGUGCGAGCGUUAAUCAGAAUUACUGGGCGUAAAGGGCGCGUAGGCGGACAGUUUAGUCAGAGGUGAAAGCCCAGGGCUCAACCUUGGAAUUGACCUUUGAUACUGGCUGUCUUGAGUUCGGGAGAGGUGAGUGGAAUGCCGAGUGUAGAGGUGAAAUUCGUAGAUAUUCGGCGGAACACCAGUGGCGAAGGCGGUGGUCUGGGCCGGCACUGACGCUGAGGAGCGAAAGCGUGGGGAGCAAACAGG
rnacentral:rRNA from 1 species